UCCAGAGUAUAUAUUUUUAUCUAAAAGAAAAUAACAAGAAAAAAAUUACAAAAGAAAAAUAGGUGUUUUUACAUUAAAAACCACAAGCAUAUAUAUGUAGUCACAGGCUGAUUGCACUAGCUAAGGCAUCUUGGCACCUGGAUAAUAAUGAAGCCAAAUGAUGGCAAAUUCACUUUAAAUACUUGGAUGUCUAGAGCUCAGACCAGGAUGCUAUGCCCCUGUGUCAUCUAAACAAUAUGUGACUUGAGGGUAGGUUAUUAUUGUGCAAUAGUUUUUCUCAUGAAAAACUAAGAACAUAAGCCUUUCUUACUUUAUCUCUUUGUGGUAUUUCCCUGCCUCUAUCCAGGAACAGCAGAAAUUAUAACCAGACUGCUGGGCAAGUCAGUGCUUCAUUUCCCCCUAAGACCUUGGAGCCAAGGCUGCAGCCUAACGUACUUUCUCAGGAUGUCAGGCAUGCCUUCACGUGGGCUGAAGGAGCCCAGGGAGUAAGUCAACGCCGCUAGAGCCAACUCAGCCUCUCAACAGGGACGCUGAAGCGUUUCUUCAGCACAAAGCAUUCUUUCAUUUGUGAAUCACAAGAGCUCAUCUUUCAAGGCAGCCAAUUCCUGGGUUUCUAGUGCUUAUUAUUCCUUAGAUAAGAGGAGGCUUGUCGUGGGGAUCCAUUUGAUGUAUACUUAAACAUCCAUGUAUCCCUUGUUACUCUGAACUUUCCUUCUACUGUGCUUUGGCCAGUAAUCAGAGAUAUGUGUUCAGCUAAGAGCACAUUUCUAUCCUGCCCAUUUUAUCCAUCUUUUUCAGGGUUCUUUGAAGACAGUGUUGAAAUUUGCCAUCUUAUAAUCAUUCCCAUGGCAACAAGCUGUGAGAAGACAAACAAACAUAGGGUUAAGACUUCACUGCAGGAAUCAAGCAGAUGGAAAAAUCAGGCUGUGAGGGAGAAAACCUUUAUUUAAACAUAAAUAUCUUUAGGAAGAGAAUGAAGAAAUGAGAAACUGACUAAAAGCAGCUUAGAAAGACAUGAGUUUGUCCUUUGCUAUGCUGCUCAUGAAUGCUCGGAUGCCAGCAAUGAUGCAAAAAACAGAUUUCAUAUUAGUAAAAGAAAACAGUCUUGAAGCAGCUUUUAUGAGGGAUAAAGAGAAGCAAGUAACUUAGUUAUGUUAAACCUGUAUUUCUGCAUCACUGAACCAAACAUAGAUGGAAACCUAACUGGAUCCAAAGAAGCUGGUUUGGCUACAAAUGUAGAGAAAGCCACACUAACAAGUUUCUCAAUGCCAGUGAACAUGUCCUGUACUGUGACCUUGAUGCU